AGAGUUUGAUCAUGGCUCAGAGCGAACGCUGGCGGCAGGCCUAACACAUGCAAGUCGAACGAGACCUUCGGGUCUAGUGGCGCACGGGUGCGUAACGCGUGGGAAUCUGCCCUUAGGUUCGGAAUAACUCAGGGAAACUUGAGCUAAUACCGGAUAAUGACUUCGGUCCAAAGAUUUAUCGCCUAGGGAUGAGCCCGCGUCGGAUUAGCUAGUUGGUGAGGUAAAGGCUCACCAAGGCGACGAUCCGUAGCUGGUCUGAGAGGAUGAUCAGCCACACUGGGACUGAGACACGGCCCAGACUCCUACGGGAGGCAGCAGUGGGGAAUAUUGGACAAUGGGCGCAAGCCUGAUCCAGCAAUGCCGCGUGAGUGAUGAAGGCCUUAGGGUUGUAAAGCUCUUUUACCCGGGAUGAUAAUGACAGUACCGGGAGAAUAAGCCCCGGCUAACUCCGUGCCAGCCGCCGCGGUAAUAC
rnacentral:rRNA from 1 species